AAAUGGCCAGGUAAUUUUCUUUAUGUUGCAACAACCUUCCUGCUGCAUAUUAUGAUUGUCUUUAACAUUGCUAUUUCUGAUGCUGACACGCGUUUCUUUUCGAUUGAAUUGUAAUAACUUGGAACUUUUAUUAAGUCUGAAUUCCACUAGGUGGUGGGAGUUUUUUUCCCAAGGGAGAGAGAUACCCCCAUUCUUUGUCAUCCAACUGAACAAAAAAAGUGCAAUGGAUGUGCAUCACAUUAAUGAUUGAUUGUCACAGGAUAAUUAUCAUUACUUAGAAAUUUAUUGCCUGUGUUGCAUGAAUAAAUGAAUGAUGUAAAUUUUUCUUCUUCUUCUGUACAUGUUUUCUGUCCUCCAAAAUCUCUCCAUUUCAAAUUCCGAGAACCUUCAUAAACAUCGCAAGCCAUUUAAAUUCGUACUGCUGCCUUUUGUGUAGAUUGUCCAUGUUUUUCUUCUGGUUCUGGAACUAAAUACAUAUUUUUAAUAUCUAUUUGGUGUAGCAUUUGCAAAUAUUUUGCAUAGUUGUAUGUUAAUGGAAGAUGUGAUGUAUUUCUAUCAGGGAUAGAGCAAAAAUGUUGCG
rnacentral:misc_RNA from 1 species